rnacentral:misc_RNA from 1 species
AAGGAUAAGGGUAAGGUGCCAAGUUCUAUUACAAUUCAAAACCAAACUUUUAUUAUCUGCGAAAAUAGGAAAAAUUUACAGAAAUUUAACCCGACCUAUUACACUACAGGACAUGAAAUUGAAAUUCAAUACAGGAAUGUGAAGCUGGUACAAGCAAGAAGAGCUAAUAUAAAUGAUUUAAUUGUGAUAGAACUUGGCACCUUACCCUUAUCCUUCCUUAGGAAAAGGCCUUGAUACAAGGGCAAGUUGAUGAGAACCAAAGCACCACAAAGAAGAAGUUGCAGAAACAUUUCCUCAAAAAGCCUAAAGUUCUCAUCCAUGAUCACUUUCUUCACCACUCCUGCAAAGCAAAACAAGUUAAGCAUUGCAAGUGUAGCUAAGAUGGUGAACAUUGGAGAGGAAGCUCCAAAGUCCAUUAUCUCUUUCUCAUAUCGUUGAGAUACAUCUUCAUCAGCUACUUUGGCAGUGAU